rnacentral:rRNA from 1 species
UGGGGAAUUUUGGGACAAUGGGGGAAACCCUGAUCCAGCCAUCCCGCGUGUGCGAUGAAGGCCUUCGGGUUGUAAAGCACUUUUGGCAGGAAAGAAACGUCGCGGGUUAAUACCCCGCGAAACUGACGGUACCUGCAGAAUAAGCACCGGCUAACUACGUGCCAGCAGCCGCGGUAAUACGUAGGGUGCAAGCGUUAAUCGGAAUUACUGGGCGUAAAGCGUGCGCAGGCGGUUCGGAAAGAAAGAUGUGAAAUCCCAGAGCUUAACUUUGGGAACUGCAUUUUUGAACUACCGGGGCUAGAGUGUGUCAGAGGGAGGUGGAAUUCCGCGUGUAGCAGUGAAAUGCGUAGAUAUGCGGAGGAACACCGAUGGCGAAGGCAGCCUCCUGGGAUAACACUGACGCUCAUGCACGAAA